rnacentral:lncRNA from 1 species
UAGGUCCUAGCUGUCAGGGCCAUAUUCUUCAAUUUUUUAAUUUAACAUAAAUAAAUACCUAGUGUUUAAAUUGGCACACAGAAAACACAGGAAAUACUUCAAAUAUUAUCAACCAUCAAAGUGCUACAUCAUAUAACACACAUACAAAUGUGAUCAGCAUCAAGAUUACAAUCAGAUAACAAGCUCUACAAGUAUACAAUCAGAUAACAAGCUCUACAAGUAUACAAUCACAUGAGCCAAGUUCUGCUACAUCAAAUUACUCUCAGAAUUAGCUCCAAUGAGCUAGAACUAUGCUUCCUCCGACUUCUUUGUCCUGAUAUUCGCAAAGAAACAUGAAAGGCCAGCAUCUGCACGUUAUAGAACAAAAUGUUUAGGAACAAAAUAAAAGUAAAUCUAACAGCAUAUUUAACACUAAAUAACAAAAUAAUGCAAUAAAUUGGUACAGAGCAUAGGCCAGGUCAACAAUAAAUUCGUACUAAAUCCAGAAAUAACCAUCUGAAAUGAACUUAAUAAGACAUUUUAGAAUCAACUUGACAAUUGACAGUAAUGUUUGCAUUGGACACAUCCAGAACUAAAAAUAUACAUAAAUGCCUAAAUUCCAAUGCCCAAUGCCUAAGUAAAAUAAACACUAAGCAUGGUACAUAGUAAAGAUUUGACACAACCAGAACUGAAAUCAUUUACUCUAUCAAGCAUAUCUACAAUGAUGCGGCACACAAGAAAAGAGAGAUGCACAACGGAGCAGCAUCAUAUAUCACACAACAUGGACACUCUUUGAACAAGCAUAGUGUUUCGGUCUAAAACCACAGUCAAUUUCAGAAGCAUGUCGAAUAACUAAACAUACAUACAUGUGUAUAUAGAAGCAGCAAAAGCAAAUAAUAAAUAUAUCAUCUUUCUUCCUCUACUACACUAACUAACCUAUCUUAUUGUUCAGCUAGAGGUUCCAUGUAUGAGCCAUGAUCAACUACUCCAAACCAUUGCAUGCUUUGCAAAAAAAAUACUAGAUGAAUCUCACUAACAGGAGCACUAGGUGAUUAAUGGAAGAAGUAAUCUGCAGAUUACAAAGUGAACAAGUGAAGGAUUUAUAUCUCUCCCUGUGGAACAACUAAGUUGAUGAAGACAUGCAGCAACAACAGCAAAAGCAUUGCAUCAUUGAUUUGGUCGCGUCGACUCUGGAAAGAGCGCAGCUGUACAUGAUCAGCACCCGAGUGGCUCAACCUCUCUAUCCCCUGCCUCAACUCACCUGUGCGGUUGCUGCAGUUUGAUACAAGUGUGUAAAUACAACAUACUUUGCAUCAUAUAUCUAGACUAUAACAUCUUAUUCUCACCAGCAGAGCAUGAAAGUUCCAUCAGGUUGCAUCAAAAUCACUACUGAAAAUAAAAAGAUGGCAUGUAGUAAUAGUAACAGGCUGUUGUAGUAAUAUAUAUUCAUGGUAGGUCAAUGGCAGAGCAUGAAAGUUCCAUCAGGUUGCAUGUAUAUCAGAGAACUAUUACUACAUGCAAAGGUUCAGUGCAUCCAAAUAAACAUGCACAUCAGGAAACUAGAGGAACAGACAGUCAACACGUAUAUAUCUAGUCAAUAAAAUAUGCAUGCAAAGUUGUACUGAUGUAGACAUGCCUUCACAUCAGAAUUCAGAAACAUCAGAGUCUCGCUGCAUCUCAAAAUCAAGCCGAUCUAACAUGUAGGCACUGAUUAACAGAUCCAAUAAUACUAUUGCAAUUGUAAUCAUAUAGCAGAACAGAGUAGAGGAGGCUCGAUAGUUCAACAUUUCCAGUGCAAGCAUUGUACAAAGUAAACCAAAUUGAAACCCAGUAAGACACUAUUACAAUACAGUAUGACGACGUCUAUUGCCCAUCUGGAAAACAAGGUGACAUACUACAGGUUCAAAAUUUUCCUACCACUCAUGAUAUGUUUGUACAAUGAUUGGUGUAUGAGGAGCUCGGCACUGUAUGAUGUAUAACAGAUGUUGUAUAAUAGAGAAGAACGGCAAAAAGAUUUGGUGGCAUUGAGCUGUUGACAGAAGUAUGCAAAAAAGCUACUCAGUUGCUAGCAAGAUGAAUCAACGACAACUGUGAAGGUUGGAGUCUAGAAAGGUAUUCCCUGUUGGAAAUCGACUACGACAGCAGUUAAGCUAUGCAUCAUUCUUGGCGGUCGAUCUCAUCCCUGUCAUUUUUAGCAAUCACUGCACGUGGAAGAAGUAAAGCAUGUCAGUUGUAUUAUUUUCAAACACACAAAAAUGAAGGAGCAAAAGGCAGCCAAAAUAUAACUGCAGGGCCCUCUUAACAAAUAAUGUUUGUGCUCAAUCUGUUAGUACAAACACUACUAUAUCUGCCAAAUGCACAGGCCAAUUUAUAUGCCUAUUUAUAUGCCUAAAAAAACUAAGAUUUUCUAGCAAGAAAGGUGGCAGCACAGUUGACCUUGAAGGCAGUAAGAAAUUUCAUCAUCUUAUCAUUGGUCUGAGAAUUAAUAGGGAGCAACUAGAGUAGAAUUUGGGCUUGUGGUAGAAGAAUAGAAAAAUUGAUACUGGGCCAUCGGAUCAAACAUGGUUGGUACAGAUUCAUGUGAGGGAUCCCAGGCCACUUAUUGUACAUUUCAUGAAAACAUACCUAGUACAGUUAGAUAUAAAACAAGAGCUUUUGCAGUAACCACAUCAAAGUUUACUCAGCUUGGAUACAAAUAGCAAACUGAUUCACAAAAGCAUUACUCCACAACCUUCGUUGUCCCACAUAUAUUGUCCCCACGGUUUACUCAUGUUUCCCUGCUCAAGUUAACAAAGAAAUCUAAAACCAUGUAGCACUAAAUUAAAUCGCAAUACAACUCUAACAAGGCAAAAUCUCCCCCUACCAGGUUGGAUUGUUGGGAUUCAAAUUGCACAUGUUUUAGAGAGAUAGUACUAGCAAGCAUAGUUCU